AUAUAACUAAGCGGAGGAAAAGAAACUAACCAGGAUUCCCUCAGUAACGGCGAGUGAAGCGGGAAGAGCUCAGACGUAAAAUCUUCGGAAAUGUCGUCUGGAGAAGCGAGAUGAAACUGCUAGGGCGGGCCAAGUCUUCUGGAACGAAGCGCCAGUGAGGGUGAUAGCCCCGUACAUGCCUGCCCGAAAGGUCGAAUUCUGCUUUCAACGAGUCGAGUUGUUUGGGAUUGCAGCUCUAAGCGGGUGGUAAAUUCCAUCUAAAGCUAAAUAUUGGUGGGAGACCGAUAGCGCACAAGUA
rnacentral:rRNA from 1 species